GAUGAACGCUGGCGGCGUGCCUAAUACAUGCAAGUCGAGCGGACGGACGCGAAGCUUGCGUCUCUGAUGUUAGCGGAGCACGGGUGUGUAACACGUGGAUAACCUACCUGUAAUACUGGGAUAACUUCGGGAAACCGGCGCUAAUCCCUGAUAAUAUUUUGCACCGCAUGGUUCAAAAGUGAAAGUCGGUCUUUCUGGCACUAAUCGCUGGAUCCGCGCUGCAUUAGCUAGUUGGGAGGGUAAAGGCUUAUCAAGGCAAGGAUGCCUAGCCGACGGGAGGGGGGGAUAGGCCACACGGGAGCGGGGACGGGGACCAGGGGCCUACGGGAGGCAGCAGUAGGGUAUCGUCGGCAAUGGGGGGAAGUCUGACGCAGCGACGCGGAGUGAGUGAUGAAAGCCUUCGGAGCGGAAAACUCGGUUAUGAGUGAAGAACAGAUGUGGAAGGAGCUGUGGACAGCUUGACGGUAACUAAUCAGAAAGCCACGGCUAACUACGUG
rnacentral:rRNA from 1 species